CCUACGGGGUGCAGCAGUGGGGAAUAUUGGUCAAUGGGCGCGAGCCUGAACCAGCCAAGUAGCGUGAAGGAUGACUGCCCUACGGGUUGUAAACUUCUUUUAUAAAGGAAUAAAGUGAGGCACGUGUGCCUUUUUGUAUGUACUUUAUGAAUAAGGAUCGGCUAACUCCGUGCCAGCAGCCGCGGUAAUACGGAGGAUCCAAGCGUUAUCCGGAUUUAUUGGGUUUAAAGGGUGCGUAGGCGGAUUGUUAAGUUAGUGGUGAAAUGUCGAGGGUUAACUCUGGAAUUGCCUUUGAUACUGGUGGUCUAGAGAAUAGGUGAGGUAGGCGGAAUGUGUGGUGUAGCGGUGAAAUGCUUAGAGAUCAUGCAGAACACCGAUUGCGAAGGCAGCUUACCAAUCUAUAUCUGACGUUGAGGCACGAAAGCGUGGGGAUCAAACAGGAUUAGAUACCCGUGUAGUC
rnacentral:rRNA from 1 species